rnacentral:rRNA from 1 species
CUGUAGAGAUACGGGGGUGCCUUCGGGAACUGUGAGACAGGUGCUGCAUGGCUGUCGUCAGCUCGUGUUGUGAAAUGUUGGGUUAAGUCCCGCAACGAGCGCAACCCUUAUCCUUUGUUGCCAGCGGUCCGGCCGGGAACUCAAAGGAGACUGCCAGUGAUAAACUGGAGGAAGGUGGGGAUGACGUCAAGUCAUCAUGGCCCUUACGACCAGGGCUACACACGUGCUACAAUGGCGCAUACAAAGAGAAGCGACCUCGCGAGAGCAAGCGGAUCUCAUAAAGUGCGUCGUAGUCCGGAUUGGAGUCUGCAACUCGACUCCAUGAAGUCGGAAUCGCUAGUAAUCGUGGAUCAGAAUGCUACGGUGAAUACGUUCCCGGGCCUUGUACACACCGCCCGUCACACCAUGGGAGUGGGUUGCAAAAGAAGUAGGUAGCUUAACCUUCGGGAGGGCGCUUACCACUUUGUGAUUCAUGACUGGGGUGAAGUCGUAACAAGGUAACCGUAGGGGAACCUGCGGUUGGAUCACCUCCUUA